UACGUAGGGACCGAGCGUUGUCCGGAAUCAUUGGGCGUAAAGAGCGUGUAGGCGGCUAUUUAAGUCCUGCGUGAAAUCCUGCGGCUCAACCGCAGACGGUCGUGGGAAACUGGAUGGCUAGAGUGCGGAAGAGGAGAGUGGAAUUCCCGGUGUAGCGGUGAAAUGCGCAGAUAUCGGGAAGAACACCCGUGGCGAAGGCGGCUCUCUGGAACGCAACUGACGCUGAGGAGCGAAAGCGUGGGGAGCAAACAGG
rnacentral:rRNA from 1 species